UACGGGGGGGGCAAGCGUUGUUCGGAAUUACUGGGCGUAAAGGGCUCGUAGGUGGCCAACUAAGUCGGACGUGAAAUCCCUCGGCUUAACCGGGGAACUGCAUCCGAUACUGGAUGGCUUGAGUUCGGGAGAGGGAUGCGGAAUUCCAGGUGUAGCGGUGAAAUGCGUAGAUAUCUGGAGGAACACCGGUGGCGAAGGCGGCGCUCUGGACCGAGACUGACGCUGAGGCGCGAAAGCGUGGGGAGCAAACAGG
rnacentral:rRNA from 1 species